rnacentral:rRNA from 1 species
GAUGAACGCUGGCGGCGUGCCUAAUACAUGCAAGUCGAGCGAACAGACGAGGAGCUUGCUCCUCUGACGUUAGCGGCGGACGGGUGAGUAACACGUGGAUAACCUACCUAUAAGACUGGGAUAACUUCGGGAAACCGGAGCUAAUACCGGAUAAUAUAUUGAACCGCGUGGUUCAAUAGUGAAAGACGGUUUUGCUGUCACUUAUAGAUGGAUCCGCGCCGCAUUAGCUAGUUGGUAAGGUAACGGCUUACCAAGGCAACGAUGCGUAGCCGACCUGAGAGGGUGAUCGGCCACACUGGAACUGAGACACGGUCCAGACUCCUACGGGAGGCAGCAGUAGGGAAUCUUCCGCAAUGGGCGAAAGCUUGACGGAGCAACGCCGCGUGAGUGAUGAAGGUCUUCGGAUCGUAAAACUCUGUUAUUAGGGAAGAACAAAUGUGUAAGUAACUAUGCACGUCUUGACGGUACCUAAUCAGAAAGCCACGGCUAACUACG